CGUUGAGAGAACAAUUGGUCAUAAAACGGUUCCAUGUUCUUCAUGGAGAAAUACGUCAGCAUCCUCAACGUGCCAGCAAUGUCAUCAUAGCAUGCGGAGUUUUACAUAACAUCGCAAAAAUGUUCAAUCUGCCCCUCCCUGACGAUGAUGACAAAUCAGAUGCUUACAAUGACAAUGGAAAUGCCAAUGACCACAUGGUUGCAGAUAUCCAGGGUACAGAUGGUCGAGCUUACAGAAACCACAUUGUUUCUGCUCAUUUUAUGUAAAUAGAUGCGGGUCAAUUACGGUAUGGGUGCAACAAUUGGUAGGACAUGCGUUUGGCUGUGGGACAGUAACAAAGUUUAUUUGUUGCUGCCCAUCUCCAGAUUCACUGGUGCUGAUGACAUGAAGAUCUUGAGUCACAAGGCCAUCUGAUUCACUGAAAUAAAAGGAAUCGAAUUCUUA